ACGCUGGCGGCGUGCCUAAUACAUGCAAGUAGAACGCUGAAGAGAGGAGCUUGCUCUUCUUGGAUGAGUUGCGAACGGGUGAGUAACGCGUAGGUAACCUGCCUUGUAGCGGGGGAUAACUAUUGGAAACGAUAGCUAAUACCGCAUAACAAUGGAUGACACAUGUCAUUUAUUUGAAAGGGGCAAUUGUUCCACUACAAGAUGGACCUGCGUUGUAUUAGCUAGUAGGUGAGGUAAUGGCUCACCUAGGCGACGAUACAUAGCCGACCUGAGAGGGUGAUCGGCCACACUGGGACUGAGACACGGCCCAGACUCCUACGGGAGGCAGCAGUAGGGAAUCUUCGGCAAUGGGGGCAACCCUGACCGAGCAACGCCGCGUGAGUGAAGAAGGUUUUCGGAUCGUAAAGCUCUGUUGUAAGUCAAGAACGGGUGUGAGAGUGGAAAGUUCACACUGUGACGGUAGCUUACCAGAAAGGGACGGCUAACUACGUGCCAGCAGCCGCGGUAAUACGUAGGUCCCGAGCGUUGUCCGGAUUUAUUGGGCGUAAAGCGAGCGCAGGCGGUUUGAUAAGUCUGAAGUUAAAGGCUGUGGCUCAACCAUAGUUCGCUUUGGAAACUGUCAAACUUGAGUGCAGAAGGGGAGAGUGGAAUUCCAUGUGUAGCGGUGAAAUGCGUAGAUAUAUGGAGGAACACCGGUGGCGAAAGCGGCUCUCUGGUCUGUAACUGACGCUGAGGCUCGAAAGCGUGGGGAGCGAACAGGAUUAGAUACCCUGGUAGUCCACGCCGUAAACGAUGAGUGCUAGGUGUUGGAUCCUUUCCGGGAUUCAGUGCCGCAGCUAACGCAUUAAGCACUCCGCCUGGGGAGUACGACCGCAAGGUUGAAACUCAAAGGAAUUGACGGGGGCCCGCACAAGCGGUGGAGCAUGUGGUUUAAUUCGAAGCAACGCGAAGAACCUUACCAGGUCUUGACAUCCCGAUGCUAUUUCUAGAGAUAGAAAGUUACUUCGGUACAUCGGUGACAGGUGGUGCAUGGUUGUCGUCAGCUCGUGUCGUGAGAUGUUGGGUUAAGUCCCGCAACGAGCGCAACCCCUAUUGUUAGUUGCCAUCAUUCAGUUGGGCACUCUAGCGAGACUGCCGGUAAUAAACCGGAGGAAGGUGGGGAUGACGUCAAAUCAUCAUGCCCCUUAUGACCUGGGCUACACACGUGCUACAAUGGUUGGUACAACGAGUUGCGAGUCGGUGACGGCGAGCUAAUCUCUUAAAGCCAAUCUCAGUUCGGAUUGUAGGCUGCAACUCGCCUACAUGAAGUCGGAAUCGCUAGUAAUCGCGGAUCAGCACGCCGCGGUGAAUACGUUCCCGGGCCUUGUACACACCGCCCGUCACACCACGAGAGUUUGUAACACCCGAAGUCGGUGAGGUAACCUUUUGGAGCCAGCCGCCUAAGGUGGGACAGAUGAUU
rnacentral:rRNA from 1 species